UACGUAGGGGGCAAGCGUUGUCCGGAAUCAUUGGGCGUAAAGAGCGUGUAGGCGGCCUGGUAAGUCCGCUGUGAAAGUCCAGGGCUCAACCCUGGAAUGCCGGUGGAAACUGUCAGGCUCGAGUCCGGAAGAGGCGAGUGGAAUUCCUGGUGUAGCGGUGAAAUGCGCAGAUAUCGGGAAGAACACCCGUGGCGAAGGCGGCUCUCUGGGACGGUACUGGACGCUGAGACGCGAAAGCGUGGGGAGCGAACAGG
rnacentral:rRNA from 1 species